CCAUGUUUCCAAACAGAGUUAUCUUUCCGUGACCCGCAAAUUAUAUUUUUAACAAUGAGUUGAAUUCUAUAGGAGGUGUUGGAACUCCCGCAAACAGUGCCGGUGGUGCAAAGAAGAAAUGGGAAACAUUACCAGGCUGCCAGACACGCCCCAUUGAUAACAAAGGUCUGCCUGCUGCCGCUGUACACAAAACACCCAACCCAGAACCAAUCGAUGCCACAAAAUUGCCGCUAGCAGAAAAAAUUCGACGACUUUCAAUGUUUUUACGAAGUGAAAAAAAAGUAAUCAAUGAAAUUAUGUUGUUUGAGAAUUCUCUGAUGAGUUGUAAAGUUGGAAUUUGACCAGAUUUUUUGAUCGAUGGCAUGGUACAAGGAAAGAACGGAUCCUUUUUCACUGGCCGACUUAAUCUGGGUGGUGUGUUCCUAGCCAGAGCUAUCGGCAUCAACAAGAAAGAAAUCAAACUGUCAUGUUUCAAGAAGGCGGUGGAACUUUAUCGUACCCUUCCUGUCACUGAAAUUUUGAACCAGGAUGAUAUGACCCCAAAAGUUAUCAAGGAGAAACUGGAGAAUUUUAACUCGACCGUUGCUAAGAUGGAGAAAGAAACAAUUGCAGAGUUACCCCCACCAUCUAUUUUGAAACAGAUCCAAGAUAUUCUAACCAAUCCUAAAUAUGCUUCAACCAAUUCAGUCAGCAAAAUGGAGUUGGCGGCCUCUGUGGCUAAAUGUCGAGUCCGUUGUCGAUAUGAUGUAGAGAGUUGUAAAGCUGAAUCAGGGAAAGUUUAUCAUAAGGGAAUGUACUUUAUUGACAACAUACUACAAGGUGCAGGUGUUUCAGUUUCCAAAAAAACUGCUAAGUCAUUGUGUUAUAAUAUGGUGGUUGAACGACUGACCACCAUGAAUGUUGAACAUGGCAACAUCUUAGAUGGUGUCGAACAGUCUGUCAUAACAGAAGCAGAAGCACAGGUUCAGAGCACUUUGGUAAAGGCAGCACCAAAUCCUAGGGCAUUUGAUCUCCGUGAACAGUUUGUCAAAAUGAACGAACUUAGCAGUGCCACGCAUCCUGCAUCCAUCAUUACUGUCUUGGAUGGAAUUUUCAACGAUGUAAAAUUGACGCCCAUUUGUCUAUACCGUCGUAGCAUGAACACAGAAAUAGAAAAGGAGAAAAUUUUCUGUAACCUCUAUCUAGCUGGUCAUCUCAUCAUGAUUGGUGAAGCAGAGAACCGAACAGAUGCCCAAGCAGACGCUUACUCUAAAGCCCGAUAAGUUUCACGAACUGUGACCCCGAGUUCAUCCUCCCCCAACACAGUAAACUUCAACCACACGACCAAGCAGCAACAGAUGUUAUCGACUUUCGUGUCAAGGGCAACUGCAUUUUGGAAGAUAACUGUUCGAAUCUUCAUCGCUUACAAUGGACCCGAAAACCUAUAUCAACACUACCAGCCAAGGAUAUCGUUGUCUUUGAGGACGUCAGUUGGAUAGUAGAUCGUAAAGUUCAAGGUUUCUAUAUUUUACAACAUUCAUGUUUUGUCAACA